AGAGUUUGAUCCUGGCUCAGGAUGAACGCUGGCGGCGUGCCUAACACAUGCAAGUCGAGCGAUUCUCUUCGGAGAAGAGCGGCGGACGGGUGAGUAACGCGUGGGUAACCUGCCCUGUACACACGGAUAACAUACCGAAAGGUAUGCUAAUACGGGAUAAUAUAAGAAAUUCGCAUGUUUUUCUUAUCAAAGCUCCGGCGGUACAGGAUGGACCCGCGUCUGAUUAGCUAGUUGGUGAGGUAACGGCUCACCAAGGCGACGAUCAGUAGCCGACCUGAGAGGGUGAUCGGCCACAUUGGAACUGAGACACGGUCCAAACUCCUACGGGAGGCAGCAGUGGGGAAUAUUGCACAAUGGGCGAAAGCCUGAUGCAGCAACGCCGCGUGAGCGAUGAAGGCCUUCGGGUCGUAAAGCUCUGUCCUCAAGGAAGAUAAUGACGGUACUUGAGGAGGAAGCCCCGGCUAACUACGUGCCAGCAGCCGCGGUAAUACGUAGGGGGCUAGCGUUAUCCGGAUUUACUGGGCGUAAAGGGUGCGUAGGCGGUCUUUUAAGUCAGGAGUGAAAGGCUACGGCUCAACCGUAGUAAGCUCUUGAAACUGGAGGACUUGAGUGCAGGAGAGGAGAGUGGAAUUCCUAGUGUAGCGGUGAAAUGCGUAGAUAUUAGGAGGAACACCAGUAGCGAAGGCGGCUCUCUGGACUGUAACUGACGCUGAGGCACGAAAGCGUGGGGAGCAAACAGGAUUAUAUACCCUGGUAGUCCACGCCGUAAACGAUGAGUACUAGCUGUCGGAGGUUACCCCCUUCGGUGGCGCAGCUAACGCAUUAAGUACUCCGCCUGGGGAGUACGCUCGCAAGAGUGAAACUCAAAGGAAUUGACGGGGACCCGCACAAGUAGCGGAGCAUGUGGUUUAAUUCGAAGCAACGCGAAGAACCUUACCUAAGCUUGACAUCCUUUUGACCGAUGCCUAAUCGCAUCUUUCCCUUCGGGGACAGAAGUGACAGGUGGUGCAUGGUUGUCGUCAGCUCGUGUCGUGAGAUGUUGGGUUAAGUCCCGCAACGAGCGCAACCCUUGCCUUUAGUUGCCAUCAUUAAGUUGGGCACUCUAGAGGGACUGCCAGGGAUAACCUGGAGGAAGGUGGGGAUGACGUCAAAUCAUCAUGCCCCUUAUGCUUAGGGCUACACACGUGCUACAAUGGGUGGUACAGAGGGCAGCGAAGUCGUGAGGCCAAGCUAAUCCCUUAAAGCCAUUCUCAGUUCGGAUUGUAGGCUGAAACUCGCCUACAUGAAGCUGGAGUUACUAGUAAUCGCAGAUCAGAAUGCUGCGGUGAAUGCGUUCCCGGGUCUUGUACACACCGCCCGUCACACCAUGGGAGUUGGGGGCGCCCGAAGCCGGCUAGCUAACCUUUUGGAAGCGGUCGUCGAAGGUGAAACCAAUAACUGGGGUGAAGUCGUAACAAGGUA
rnacentral:rRNA from 1 species